rnacentral:tRNA from 1 species
AGGGACUUAGGCUAACAUAAGACCAAGGGCCUUCAAAGCCUCAAGUGGGGGUUAAAAUCCUCCAGACCCUG